rnacentral:rRNA from 1 species
UACGAAGGGGGCUAGCGUUGUUCGGAAUUACUGGGCGUAAAGCGCACGUAGGCGGACAUUUAAGUCAGGGGUGAAAUCCCGGAGCUCAACUCCGGAAAUGCCAUUGAAACUGUGAGACUUGAGGAUGAGAGAGGUGAGUGGAAUUCCCAGUGUAGAGGUGAAAUUCGUAGAUAUUGGGAAGAACACCGGUGGCGAAGGCGGCUCACUGGCUCAUAUCUGACGCUCAGGCGCGACAGCGUGGGGAUCAAACAGG